rnacentral:rRNA from 1 species
AUGGUAUAAUAAAAUCGGAGGCCACGACUGUUUACUAAAAACACAAUUCAGAGCAAUGAUUAAGAUAAUAGUAUUCUGAAUGAAAUUUGCUCAAUGCCAUUAAUAUAAAAGANGGUAAUUUUAAAGUUACUAAUUGAAAGUCUGGUUAAUAGCGGUCUUAACUAUGAGGAUCCUAAGGUAGCAAAAUAAAUUGGCCAUUAAAUGUGGUCUAGUAUCAAUAAUGUAACGAUGGUCUCACUGUCUCUACAACUUGCUCAGUGAAAUUGAAUUGCGAGUGCAGAUGCUCGCUAUCUUCAGAGGGANCGGGAAGACCCUAUGCAGCUUCC